AAUGAACGCUAGCAGUAUACUUGACACAUGCUAGUGGAGCGACGAACCAGGGCUUGCCCUGGGGCAGAGCCGCGAACGGGUGAGUAACACGUGGGUAACGUGCCCCAAUGAUCGGGACAACCCGGGGAAACCCGGGCUAAUACCGAAUGUGCUCCCCUCACACCAGUGAGGGAUGGAAAGGAAGCUUCGGCCUCCGCAUUGGGGUCGGCCCGCGGCCCAUUAGCUUGUUGGUGAGGUAACGGCUCACCAAGGCUGCGAUGGGUAGCUGGUCUGAGAGGACGAUCAGCCACACUGGGACUGAGACACGGCCCAGACUCCUACGGGAGGCAGCAGUGGGGAAUCUUGCGCAAUGCGCGAAAGCGUGACGCAGCAACGCCGCGUGGGGGAAGAAGGCCUUCGGGUUGUAAACCCCUUUCAGGAGGGACGAAGCCUUGGCGGUUAAUAGCCGACCGAGGUGACGGUACCUCCAGAAGAAGCCCCGGCUAACUACGUGCCAGCAGCCGCCGUAACAC
rnacentral:rRNA from 1 species